CACACACACACACACACACACAUACACACACACACAAUCAACCCGUCUCUGUCUACUGUAUCUACUGUAUAUACUGAAACCACAGUGUGUUUCCUUCUUCUGAAAAGACCCAAUCUGUGGCACAACCUCUUUCAGGUCCUAAUACUUACAUGGUUAUUGUUUGCUUAAAGAGAAAUGAUUACCUUCUUACUAAAGCCAAUUCUAAAGUAUAGUUUCACCAGUCAUCUAACUCAGGCAUUUCAACGGUGGCGUGCUGGGAGACAAAUCCUCUACUUUCAUAUUGAAAUAUAACUGCGACUUUAUUCCCAAAAUGUGACUAUUCUCAAAAUAAAAUGUUAGUUUAUUCUCAAAAUAUUGCCACUCAAAACAUUGACUUUAGUCACAAAAAUGUUUUAAAUACUUUAUUCUGGAAAUAUCUACUUUAUUUACAAAGAAUUUCAUGGUUUUAAAGUACUAUUCAUGCAAAAUAAAAAUCCAACUACCAACACCACUAUGUUUAUAAUGGGCUGUUUAUUUCCUCUUCACUUGUCCCUGAUACUCUUCCGUAGUGUCUGUGUUAGGUAGGGACUGAUCAGUUGGUAAUCACUGUUUAUUUCCUGUGUUAGGUAGGGACCACCCAUCACUGUUUAUUUCCUGUGUUAGGUAGGGACCACCCAUCACUGUUUAUUUCCUGUGUUAGGUAGGGACCACCCAUCACUGUUUAUUUCCUGUGUUAGGUAGGGACCACCCAUCACUGUUUAUUUCCUGUGUUAGGUAGGGACCACCCAUCACUGUUUAUUUCCUGUGUUAGGUAGGGACCACCCAUCACUGUUUAUUUCCUGUGUUAGGUAGGGAC